rnacentral:rRNA from 1 species
UUGUGCCAGCAGCCGCGGUAAUUCCAGCUCCAAUAGCGUAUAUUAAAGUUGUUGCAGUUAAAAAGCUCGUAGUUGGAUUUCUGGGAGGGUGCCAAUGUCCGCCGACGUGCGUGCGCAGCGGCGCCCUCUCAUCCUUCUGUUAACGUCUCUCGGCAUUCACUUGCCGGUGGCGGGCUCAGAUAUUUUACCUUGAGAAAAUUAGAGUGUUUCAGGCAGGCUAGGCCGGAAUACAUUAGCAUGGAAUAAUGGAAUAGGACUUCGGUCUCUUUGUUGGUUUGAGGGACUGCAGUAAUGAUUAAUAGGGAUAGUUGGGGGCAUUAGUAUUUAAUUGUCAGAGGUGGAAUUCUCGGAUUUGUUAAAGACUAACUUAUGCGAAAGCAUUUGCCAAGGAUGUUUUCAUUAAUCAAGAACGAAAGUUAGGGGAUCAAAGACGAUCAGAUACCGUCCUAGUCUUAACCAUAAACUAUGCCGACUCGGGAUCGGGGGCGCGAACUAUCCGCCUUCGGCACCGUAUGAGAAAUCAAAGUCUUUGGGUUCCGGGGGGAGUAUGGUCGCAAGGCUGAAACUUAAAGGAAUUGACGGAAGGGCACCACCAGGAGUGGAGCCUGCGGCUUAAUUUGACUCAACACGGGAAAUCUCACCAGGCCCGGACACUGGCAGGAUUGACAGAUUGAGAGCUCUUUCUCGAUUCAGUGGGUGGUGGUGCAUGGCCGUUCUUAGUUGGUGGAGUGAUUUGUCUGGUUAAUUCCGAUAACGAACGAGACUCUGUCCUGCUAAAUAGGUGUGCCGUCUCUUUUGCGGUACACAUUCUUCUUAGAGGGACUGGCGGCGUCUAGCCGCACGAGAUUGAGCAAUAACAGGUCUGUGAUGCCCAAG